rnacentral:rRNA from 1 species
AGUGUGACCAAUAGUCAGAGCUCUUCUCCAGAAAAAGCAAAGAAGCCAUGAGGAUUUAAUAAAUCAUAUCAGAACUUAGAAGACAGCAUAAAGAAAGCAUUUGAUCAGCAUUUGGGGAGAUAUUUAAAUCAGAAUGAAUUGAUAUAUUGGAGCAGUCCUGCUGUAUAAAAGGAUAAAUUCGAACUUAUCAUAGUCAGUAAAUUUUUGAAAUUCUUGCAUAUUCUUAUCAAGCUGCACUUAAAUGUAAGACAGUGCAAGUGCCUAGAUACUCAAAGAGAAUGGCAACAUAAAGGAUCAAUUCAAUAGAACAAAUGAUAUAAUGAAUGCUAUAAUAGAAAAGGAUCAGAAACUGAAAGUAAAAGCAAUAAUGGCAGAAAUCAAAGUAAGAUAUCAACCUUUUAUUCCAAAUUUAAGAAAAGGCACAAUCAAGCAUCAAACAUCUAGUAAUGAUGAAGUUAAAGAUAGUAAAUCAUUGCCAAAGAACAAAAACAAAAAUUUAAGGAAAUCCUAUGAUGCCAAAGCCACCUUGUAAAAAUAGCUGAAAGUAGCAAAAUUUUACAAGCAUGCCGAAGGCUAAGAGAAAAAAUGAAGGUGAGUUUAUUGAUUUGGAUUGGAAAAAUAUCUUAAUGAAGAUUUAUAAAGGGAAGAAUAGGAAUAACUGCUUACCCAAAGGCAAUACUAUUAGAAGAAAGACCCAAAAAGCAGCCUUAUUAAUGGCAAAUAAGGUGGGAGUAACAAUGACUCUCUUAAGAUACCCAAAUCCCUCGUCAUCUAAUAAUUGACAUGCAUGAAAUGGAUUAAUGAGAUUUCGUGUGUCUCUAUCUACUAUCUAGCGAAUGUAUAGGUAAGGAACAGACUUGCGGAAUCAGCGAGGAAGUAGCCUUUGUUGAGUUUGACUCUAAUCUGGCUUUGCCAAAUGGCUGAGGGUGUAUACAUAUAUGGGAGCCCUGCAUAUUGAAAAUCCACAACUCUUGAUGUCAUUUUAAUUAUCUAGAAAGUUAGAAACCUCGGAUUCUAGCUUUGUUCUUAGCGGGAGAUAAAAUUAGUUUGUGAGUUAGGCUGGGAGGCACAUCUGUUAAAUGGUAGUACAGGUACCAUAUUGCGAAAUCAAAGAGAACAAGAAUACCUUGUUGAUUAAAAGGGGAAAAAGUUGGUUGAUUUGAUUCCAGUAAAAAUACAUAUUACCAAGGCAUAGCCUAUCAAUCCUCUACUUUUAAAAGUCUCAAGCCAGACUUGUAAGAAAAGCACCACAGGAUAACUGGCUUGUGAUAGCUAAGCUUUCGUAGCGACGUUGUUUUUGAUUCUGCCAUGUUGGCUCUUCCUAUUAUUGUUAGGCAGGAUUCACCAUAUGUCAAAUUGCUCACACACUAAUAGGGAACGUGAGCUAGGUUUAGACGGUAGUGAGGCAGGCUAGUUUUCCCCUACUGAUGAUUGAUAUCGCUACAGUAAUCUAAAGUAUUAUUCAUGCUUAUAUUCAGAGCUCUGGGGAGAAAUCACAUUGUGUCAGCACUAGUUACAGUCUCCACAAUUUUCUGUUUUAAUUGAACAGUCAGAUUCCUCUCGUUGUUCCAGUCCUGAGUUGUUCAUUCAUUGCCAAGGGUGACUGACAGGUCAAGCCAUUGGUGACGCUUAAAAGUUUACCCAUUUGGUACAACUAGGUCGAUCUGCCAGGCCGUUAGCCUGACCCUCAGAGCCAAUCUUUCUCGUAGUUGCCAAUCCCAUUUUACCGAAUUCCCUUAGUACAUUAUUCUACGUCCUAGAGGCCUCUAACCUUGG